rnacentral:rRNA from 1 species
CUGGCUCUAGGGCCCGAGUUGUAAUUUGUAGAGGAUGCUUUUGGUGAGGUGCCUUCCGAGUUCCCUGGAACGGGACGCCAUAGAGGGUGAGAGCCCCGUCUGGUUGGACACCGAUCCUCUGUAAAGCUCCUUCGACGAGUCGAGUAGUUUGGGAAUGCUGCUCUAAAUGGGAGGUAUAUGUCUUCUAAAGCUAAAUACCGGCCAGAGACCGAUAGCGCACAAGUAGAGUGAUCGAAAGAUGAAAAGAACUUUGAAAAGAGAGUUAAAAAGUACGUGAAAUUGUUGAAAGGGAAGCGCUUGUGACCAGACUUGGGCUUGGUUGAUCAUCCGGGGUUCUCCCCGGUGCACUCUUCCGGCUCAGGCCAGCAUCAGUUCGCCCUGGGGGAAAAAGGCAGCGGGAAUGUGGCUCCCUCCGGGGAGUGUUAUAGCCCGCUGCGUAAUACCCUGUGGCGGACUGAGGUUCGCGCAUUCGCAAGGAUGCUGGCGUAAUGGUCAUCAGUGACCCGUCUUGAAACACGGACCAAGGAGUCGUCUUCGUAUGCGAGUGUUCGGGUGUCAAACCCCUACGCGAAAUGAAAGUGAACGCAGGUGAGAGCUUCGGCGCAUCAUCGACCGAUCCUGAUGUUAUCGGAUGGAUUUGAGUAAGAGCAUACGGGGCCGGACCCGAAAGAAGGUGAACUAUGCCUGUGUAGGGUGAAGCCAGAGGAAACUCUGGUGGAGGCUCGCAGCGGUUCUGACGUGCAAAUCGAUCGU